CCUACGGGGGGCUGCAGUGAGGAAUAUUGGUCAAUGGGCGCAAGCCUGAACCAGCCAUCCCGCGUGAAGGAAGAAGGCCUUAUGGGUUGUAAACUUCUUUUCUAUUUGAAGAAUUUGCCCGACGAGUCGGGUAUUGCCGGUAGGAUAGGAAUAAGCAUCGGCUAACUCCGUGCCAGCAGCCGCGGUAAUACGGAGGAUGCAAGCGUUAUCCGGAUUUAUUGGGUUUAAAGGGUGCGCAGGUGGUUUAAUAAGUCAGUGGUGAAAGUCUGCCGCUUAACGGUAGGAUUGCCAUUGAUACUGUUAAACUUGAGUUUGGAUGAGGUAGGCGGAAUGUGUAGUGUAGCGGUGAAAUGCAUAGAUAUUACACAGAACACCGAUUGCGAAGGCAGCUUACUAAUCCAUGACUGACGCUGAGGCACGAAAGCGUGGGGAUCAAACAGGCUUAGAUACCCGGGUAGUC
rnacentral:rRNA from 1 species